rnacentral:rRNA from 1 species
GACGAACGCUGGCGGCAUGCCUAACACAUGCAAGUCGAACGGAGAUUAUUUCGGUAAUCUUAGUGGCGAACGGGUGAGUAACGCGUGGGCAACCUGCCCUCUAGAUGGGGACAACAUCCCGAAAGGGGUGCUAAUACCGAAUGUGACAGCAAUCUCGCAUGAGGAUGCUGUGAAAGAUGGCCUCUAUUUAUAAGCUAUCGCUAGAGGAUGGGCCUGCGUCUGAUUAGCUAGUUGGUGGGGUAACGGCCUACCAAGGCGAUGAUCAGUAGCCGGUCUGAGAGGAUGAACGGCCACAUUGGGACUGAGACACGGCCCAGACUCCUACGGGAGGCAGCAGUGGGGAAUCUUCCGCAAGGGGCGAAAGCCUGACGGAGCAAUGCCGCGUGAGUGAUGAAGGAAUUCGUUCCGUAAAGCUCUUUUGUUUAUGACGAAUGUGCAGAUUGUGAACAAUGAUCUGUAAUGACGGUAGUAAACGAAUAAGCCACGGCUAACUACGUG